CCUACGGGAGGCAGCAGUGGGGGAUAUUGCACAAUGGGGGGAACCCUGAUGCAGCGACGCCGCGUGAGGGAAGACGGCCUUCGGGUUGUAAACCUCUGUCGCAGGGGACGAAGGAGAUGACGGUACCCUGUGAGGAAGCCACGGCUAACUACGUGCCAGCAGCCGCGGUAAUACGUAGGUGGCGAGCGUUGUCCGGAAUUACUGGGUGUAAAGGGAGCGUAGGCGGGAUAUUAAGUUGAAUGUAUAAACUACCGGCUUAACCGAUAGAAGCGUUCAAAACUGAUAUUCUUGAGUGAAGUAGAGGCAGGCGGAAUUCCUAGUGUAGCGGUGAAAUGCGUAGAUAUUAGGAGGAACACCAGUGGCGAAGGCGGCCUGCUGGGCUUUAACUGACGCUGAGGCUCGAAAGCGUGGGUAGCAAACAGGAUUAGAUACCCCAGUAGUC
rnacentral:rRNA from 1 species